rnacentral:rRNA from 1 species
AUUGAACGCUGGCGGCAGGCCUAACACAUGCAAGUCGAGCGGAUGAAGGGAGCUUGCUCCUGGAUUCAGCGGCGGACGGGUGAGUAAUGCCUAGGAAUCUGCCUGGUAGUGGGGGAUAACGUCCGGAAACGGGCGCUAAUACCGCAUACGUCCUGAGGGAGAAAGUGGGGGAUCUUCGGACCUCACGCUAUCAGAUGAGCCUAGGUCGGAUUAGCUAGUUGGUGGGGUAAAGGCCUACCAAGGCGACGAUCCGUAACUGGUCUGAGAGGAUGAUCAGUCACACUGGAACUGAGACACGGUCCAGACUCCUACGGGAGGCAGCAGUGGGGAAUAUUGGACAAUGGGCGAAAGCCUGGUCCAGCCAUGCCGCGUGUGUGAAGAAGGUCUUCGGAUUGUAAAGCACUUUAAGUUGGGAGGAAGGGCAGUAAGUUAAUACCUUGCUGUUUUGACGUUACCAACAGAAUAAGCACCGGCUAACUUCAUG